rnacentral:rRNA from 1 species
AUAGCGUAUAUUAAAGUUGCUGCAGUUAAAAAGCUCGUAGUUGGAUCUCGGUAUCACUGUUUCCUGCCAUACCUCGAUCAGUUGGGCUAGCGCUGCAUGGGUUCCGCUCGUGUUGUCCUAGUUCGGUUGCUUUGAGUUGGCGUGGUAGCGGUGUCACCUUUCAGCCAUGUCUGUGGUGAAAUACCCACAGGUGUAGGCGAGUGUCAGGCGGUGCUUUGCUUCACGUAAGGUCCGUCGGCUCGUUUGCAUGCCUUUGGAUGCCCUUCAAAAGGUGUCUGUGGGCGGAUGGCACGUUUACUUUGAACAAAUUUGAGUGCUCAAACCAGGCCGAUGUUGCCUGAAAAGUUUUGCAUGGAAUAAUGGAAUAGGACUUCGGUUCUAUUUUGUUGGUUUUCGGAUCCGAAGUAAUGAUCAAAAGAGACAGGCGGGGACGUUUGUAUGGUUGCGCUAGAGGUGAAAUUCAUGGACCGUAAUCAGACAAACUAAAGCGAAAGCAUUCGUCAAGCAUGUUUUCAUUGACCAUGAGCGAAAGUCAGAGGCUCGAAGACGAUCAGAUACCGUCCUAGUUCUGACCAUAAACGAUGCCAACUGACGAUCCGUGGUGGUAGUUUAUAACAUUCCCCACGGGCAGUCCCCGGGAAACCUUUAAGUCUUUGGGUUCCGGGGGAAGUAUGGUUGCAAAGCUGAAACUUAAAGGAAUUGACGGAAGGCACCACCAGGAGUGGAGCCUGCGGCUUAAUUUGACUCAACACGGGAAAACUCACCCGGCCCGGACACUGUGAGGAUUGACAGAUUGACAGCUCUUUCUUGAUUUGGUGGUUGGGUGGUGCAUGGCCGUUCUUAGUUGGUGGAGCGAUUUGUCUAGGUUAAUUCCCGAAUAACGAACGAAACUCUAUCCUGCUAAUUUAGUGCAUCUGUCCACUGUCCUGUGCAA